ACCUCUUUAGGUUAACUGAGAUCCUGACCUUGAGACUGCUCCAGAUGUAACCCCUGCCUCCCUCAAGACACCUCCCAGCCUGCCCUGGACUGCCUCCUUCCCACCGCCCAGUCACUGUCCCUGAGAUGCCUUCCCCAAUCUCUCAGCACCCUAUUUGUUACCUUUAGAGCUCUCAUCACAAUCAGAUUAGACAGUAUUUGUUACCUGCUUGGGUGGGGACUCCAAGCUGGAGGGAAGUCAAUCUUGUUCCCUAGUCUCUCCCUGGCUCCAGGCACAGCACUUGGCACUCAAGUAAAUGAAUGGCUGACUGUUUGGAAAGAGAAGUGGAGGUGGGGUGGGAAGGAGGGAGGAGCCCAGUCUUUGGCCCUCAGCCCCCACCAUUCCCACACACUGCUGCACGUGCCUCUUUUAAAGAAACUGCUGGGACAGCAGCAACAGUGGCAGCCCUACCUUUACUGGGUGAUGUCAGACAAGGCCCCCCUUCCCCAUUCCACCUUGGCUUGCACUUGCCACAGGCAGACAACUCCUGAUGACUACCUCACCCCUGUGCAGGGCAACAGCCACGUCAGGAAGCGUGGGAAGGCAAGAAAGUUCCAGGAGAGCCUAGAACUAUCAAACCUAUUCUCGGUACAGUCCAUAACAGGUCCUAGUCACAGUCCUCAGCAGGAAGCUGCCCAGAUACAGUGAUGACCCUGCAGACAAAAUUCUAGCUCAAAAUACCCAUCAGAGUCUGACAGCACUGGGUAGAUCUCUCCAGCCUGAUCUUGGGUGUCCUGAACCCUGGACAGAAUGCCCUUCCUCCCAUUCCCACACACAAGGCAUUCGCCUCUCCCCGACCCAGGCCACCUUCUCCCAUCAGAGCCCCAGCGCUUGGCAAACAGCCAUCAAAUGACUGACUCCACUUCAAAGAGCCCACCCAAUUCACCUACAUCUUUCCAGGCAUGAGACAUGGACAGUUUUGGCUAUUUCAAGUCUUCUCUUUCCCCCUGGAUAUUAGUAACUAAUAUUACUAUUAGUAACUAAUAAUUACCAGCAGCUAAUCCUUCUUAAACGUUUCCUCUGUAUCAGGCACUGUGCUUAGUGCUUUGCACACAUUUCUCGUGUCAUAUGGAGACUACAAUCAGGUAUUACUAGCAUCUCUAGUUUGCAGGUGAAAAAACAACCCAGAGAAGUUAAGUACCUUGCCCAAGGUCUCACAGCUCUAGCUGGCAGCCCAGGAUCCAACUCUCAGCAGUCCGACUCUGGAGAGAUGCUCUUAACUACAGCUUCCAGGAACCAAAUUCAACUUAAUAGCAGAGACACAAGGAGCUCCCUUCUGCUGACAAACAAAUGACGAAUCUGCAGGCCAGAGCAGGGAAGGGUCUUGCCAGAGGCCACCCAUCAAGGCAGUGGCAUAAAGAGCCUAAGUGUGGUCUUGACCCUGUCUCAGCACAGCAAGAGGAGACACCUACCAACAGCUGCCCUAAAACUUCCAGCCUGAGGGCUGACCCAGACAUCUGCUAGGACUGACAAUGACCCACCCAGGACUGGUCUAGACUUCAGAAUCUCUGCUCACCCUGACAUGCCUACUCUGUCUAGCUAAGACUGCUGUAAUAUAUUUCACAAUGUCUUUCCACUGGCUGGUUUACCAAAUAGCCCAGGGACAUAAGAAAGGCAGGAAUGAGUCUCCCAGCUCUUCAGAUGAGGAAAACUGAGGUUCAGUGAAGGGCAGGGGUAUCGUGGCCAAGCAAGCACUAAGGUUCAGGAGGUCAGUAAAAAUUUGAAUGAGCUCACCCACCCCGCUGUUGCCAAGCAGGUACAGCACGAGAGGAGCUCAUGGAGGAAAUAAAUUUGAAUCUGGGGGCGAAGGUGGGGUGCCUUUUAAAAUAUAUACAUUUUCAGAAUGGAAAAGAAGGCAAUUAAAAAUAUCUGACACAAAAUAAACAAAAAACAAACAAAAAUAUCUGACAAAAUUUUCAGUGCACAGACUCUUGGAAAGAGCAAUUCCGUGUGCAGGAAUGGCUCCAACAGUGACACAUGCACUCGUGCAUAAAGACACAUAGGAAAGAGUGUUCACUGCAGCACUGUUUACAGCGGCAAGACUGAGAAUAAGCUAAACAUCCUUGAGUAGAGGACAAAUAACUGGUGGUCUAACCAUCAAUGGAAAGCCACACGCUCACAAGAAAAGGUGGCCAUGAACCUGUAUGUACCCACAGAGAAAAACCUGCAACAGACUCGCAUGAAAAAUGCAAGGUAUAGAAAAGCAGGGAGAAAAUAUGCCACUGUUUAAGUAAUAAAAAGGGAUGUUACUGACAAUAGCUGCACCCAUAUGCUGAGUACUUCUAUAAGGAAACCUCAAGAUUGGUCACAGUGAUGAGGUGUCUGGGUAGGACAGGGACUAAUUUUUCAUUGGGCCUUUUUUUUUUUUACCAAGUUCAACUUUAACCAACGUACAUGUAUUGCUUUUACAGUAAAAAUAUAACUUUUACACACACACAAAAACCCUCCAGCAAAAUGUGUCCAGAGAUGCCUCUUCCUAGAUUUCAGGCAUCAGACUCCUUGGGUUGGGAGGGAAGGCAGGACCCAGGCACCCAGAUUUUGAAAAGUCUCCUCAAGGGCUGCUGGUCUAGCCUUGCAGAACAGGCAGUCAGCACCUGAGAAUAGACGGAGGCAGCCUGGACGCUGUGGGGGAUCUGUGGUGUGGAGGAGAGUGUCAGGGAAGACUGAAGGAAAACUUGGCUUUGAGGCAUAGGAAGGAUUUGAAGAGGGCUCUGAAUAUACAGCUGAGAUGAGAGGGUGCCUACCAGGAAGGACUGGGGAAAUUAAGUGAGGCUGGUAGGUAGGGGAAGGAAAAGGAAUGUCUCUCAGCAUGGGAUCCUGGCAAGUCCCUUCCCUCUGAGGUUUGGUUCCUACUCAUGGGAAAGGAAGGAGAUGGACAAGUCCUUUCCAGACCUGCUAUCCUAGGACCUGCCUUGAUCUCAUCUCAUUUAAUAUUAAAGGAGGUGGGGAGGGUCCCCAGCUCAGCACAUGGCCAUAGAGCUCCACACCUGUGCAGAGUGUAAUCAAAUAUUUGGAGGCUGCAGAAAAUUCACGCCAGGAUCUCGGGUAGAGCAGCCCUUGGGCGACGUCCCCCUAGGGAGAAGGAGCAGAUGGCCUUCUGCUGAGAUACCCUUCCUCACCCUGUUAAUAAUUAAGUCAUUACUGAAGACCUCUUUUGUUACUUUUGAAGUUCAGUUUGCAGACUUAGGCCUUGCUUUGCUUUAUUCCAUGAUGCUCCAGGCUGAGGGCUCACAGGCUUUGACCGUGUAGACUUAAGCCAUAGGCCCAAACUACAAGGACCUGAAGUGGAGAGAGCCCAGGAUGCAGGUUAGGAGCCUGGUGGUGGAUUCUGGCUAGAUCUCGAUGCUGCUGCUGCUGCAGACUCUGGGAGGUUAGAAACUAAGUCUCUAAGGCUGCUCUGUUAGUGCUUCCCCAGGGCCAGCAGUUAAUACAUAUUUAUUGAAUAAAUAAGUAGCUCAGCCACAGUGACCUUGGUCACACCUCUUUCUACCAGUCAACCUGUCUUCUCUUCUGGAAAACAAGGAUGACAAGAAUAGUAAUAGCUCCCAGAGUUGGAUAAGGAUCUACUGAGAUAAUGUGGAUAAAAGUGCCUUGCAAAUCGAAACAGUGGAAACAAAUAUUAAAGAUCCAAAACCAACCUGCUGAAAAAAAAAAGAAUGAAUAUACGUGAGAAUGAGCAAAUUUACGAGAAAGCACCUGACUCGAGAUGGUCACCAAAUAAAUUACUACAAUGGGAAGGGACAGCAUAGGUCACUCUAUUCCACGGUUCCAAUGUCCAAAUAGCAUUUAACAGGCCAUCUCUGUUCCAAAGGACCACAAAAAUCUCUCCUCAAAACCUUUGUCCAGAUUUUGGUAUGAAGAACAUGGUUACAGUUACAAUCGUAUCCUGCAUAUGGCUGGGCUCAGAGAGUAUCUGCCAAAGCAGAUUGGCAUACAGAUGCUGGGGUGUUUGCUGGAGGCAAGGGAGCAGUGGGGUGAGGGGCACCUGGAGAGUGUGCCUGCCAUGUGGUAGCUCUGCCGCAUGAUGAAGUUUGUGUUCGGAGGAGUGUGACUGCACAUUCUCUCUGCACACAGACAGAAUGACUGGGUAGGAGACUUUGGCCAAGCCCUCAAUUUACUGCUUGUACACGGGAACCAACCAUUGCUGCCUCCCAUGCUAGCCACUCUCUAAGUACCAGUUCCCUUACCUUUUCCUCCAUCCAUGGGGUAUUCCUGGCUGCAGCCUGAGAAAUGGGUUCUAGGCUCUGUCACUUGGCUCUCCUGUGCGAGGCAUCUUGCCUUUGUGGGUGACUGAUUGCUGUGGCUGGGCUCUCUCUGGUGGUGACUGGCUGAGAAUUCCAACAGACCCAGUGGUGGGCAUGCCUACUAAUAGACUGGACAUACACGCAGUACAACUCUGGAGGCUUCUCACAGUCCGGUGUGUAAAACUGCUGGUGUGAAAGUCCCUAGCUCCUCUGACUCUUCCACCUUGAAGGAAUUCUAAACUGCCACCCUGACCUUCAGGAUCCUUAGAAAGCAGGAUUUGUGGGCUUUUAGGAUAACUUUGCUUGCUCCUAAUGAAAGGGCAAGAAGGCUCAGCUCCCUGGGACCCUAAAAGCAGGAGUUCCCUUUCCAAGAAGCAGAGCUGAGCUGUGGAAAAGCCACGGUUUGGACACUCGGCCUUGGGUCUGAGCUACAUCUUCCUUAUCUGCAAAACAGGGAUGGUAAGUCCACCUGCCUCUGGCUUGUUAUACCAGAUUUCAUGAACACCCUUGUGAAGCCCCUGGCGCAGAGCCAGGCAAACAGCAGGUGUACAAGAAAUGUGCUCAGACUGCUACUUCCUGCCCCAAACCAGCAACACCAAACAGUUUUUUCCCUUCUGGCCCAUCAGGGCGCUAGCCAGGCUCUCCUAAGGGAGCACAGCAUCCUCUGACACCCAAACUGGCUCUUCCCACUCCCAUGAGCCCCACCCAAGCCUCACCCUCUGUGUCAUCUGGAUGCCUGCAAAGCCUCCUCCCUGCUGUCAUUUUUAUUCAUUCCAAUUUACCCAGCCUGAUUCAUCUUCUUGAAAAAGUCCUCCAGCUGUGCCACCUCUGCUCUAAAACCUUCCAUGGCUCCCUAAUGCCUCUGCUUUU